GAAACCUCAAAAACAUUGCUGAGUGCAAGAGAUACUGAAAACAAUGAUAUCGGUGUGCGAGAGCAAGAUAAUUUGGUCACGUUGCAGUGGAGAAAUUUGAAGGUUUUUCAAAAAAUCUUUGUCAGAAAAUUUUCAAAAAAAAACAAUUUUCAGGUGACUACAAAAGCCGGUCGUGUCCUUCUCAAUGGUGUCAGUGGGUGUGCCGUACCGGGAGAAGUCAUCGCACUGAUGGGAGCCAGUGGAGCCGGAAAAACGACACUGCUCAAUACGUUGUUGCAGCGGAAUUUGAGGGUUUAGGGAUAACUUUUUUCGAUUUCAAAAAUAAACAAUUUCAGGGCCUGCAAGUCGAAGGCGAGAUUCUGGUGAAUGGGCAGAAUAUUGGAAAAGGGGUGACCAGUGUGUCGGCGUAUGUUCAGCAGGAGGAUUUGUUCAUGGGAACGCUUACG
rnacentral:sRNA from 1 species